CACGAUGAACUGUUAAACAUCAUGUAUGUAUGUAUGUUAUCAGUGCAGAGCAAGUCUUUACGGGGCCUCCUGGAUGUAAACAUUCACGAGAGGCAUUGUGGGAAGGCCAGAGAAUGGCGAAAUCAAAUUGUGAUGUGUACAUUUUAUCACCGUAUGUAGACAUGUAUAUUCAUUGUACAGCUACGAGCACAUGAACUGCCCUCGAUUACGCAUUUGGAGCAUUAGUCAAUACUAACGAAGGAUAUAUUGUUGUCUGAAUCGUUUACCAUGUUUCGACUACGAGAAAAUUCUGACGGUCAUAUUUGCAAUGGAUUGAUAAACACAUAAAGAUACAGUGCAGAUAUAUUUAUAAACUGUCCCCAGUGAUAUUGUAACUAGUAAGGAAAAGUUAAUGGUGACACUUUAAUGUGUGAUGGAAUUGGACGUUGCUAAAAAGAUUUGGUGCCGUUGACCACCCCUGGACUUGGAGGUGAAAGUCCUCCCAGGGACAAAUAAGAACUUGGGUUGCAUCUUCGAGGGCGAAGACAAUUUAAGGAGGGAGGAAUGUAAUGGUUCUGGCCGUGGAUAUCGGCCUGGGUAGCUCAGUCGGUAGAGCACCUGACUAGUGAUGCAGGGGUCCCGGGUUCAAUUCCCGGUCCAGCCAUACAUUUUCUCCUUUCCUGUUACAUAUAUAUAUAGAGACAAUUUCUUUUCCUUUUUUUCUUUUUUGGCAUCCUAUUUUAGGCCUACAGUAUUAAUUUUGGGCUCAUUUACUAGGAAUGUUAUAACUUUAUUGGAAUUGUCCCACUGAAUUAAAGGGAACUCUUUUUUCAGGUGCGCAUGAUGCAACUUCUGGAUGGUGUGUAGUCUGUUUGUCAACAUGUGAAACCCACGUGUAUUUUGAGGAGUAGCCUCCCCUGUUAAAGAUCAAUAAUGGUGGAUAAACAAUGCAGGAUGCUGUCAUGUCAUCAACAGAGAGUUUUGACACCCGUAUACCCGUAUUUCUACCAAUCACCUUUGUAACCUUUGUUGUGUUCAUCAGACAGAUGAUGGACCACUCUACUUCCUUUUACAACAGGUGCCCCUACAGAUUCACAAAGUUCCAAUGUUGAUUUUCCAUGACCCCCAUUCAGUGAGUGCACAACUUUAUUCCGCGACAGGAAAAGGAAUGAAGUUGACAGGAUUUCCCGCACUGUCCUUGGUAGCAGCUUAUGAUAGAACGGACAGCAGUAGACAUAGCCCGCUUCAUCAAAGGUCUGCUGCAUGUUGGUAGCUGAUGCUGGUUCAAUAUUUGCGCCAAGAAGCAUACCACGCAUACCCUCUGUAGUAAGGCUGGUACCCAUGUGACCGACAGCCAUAGCCACAUUUAGCUGUGCAGCUCUGCGUCCCCUUCUGGAUCUCCCCACCUCUUCAUACAGCUUUUCACGGCGACUUGUAUAGUGGCACUUCUUACAUCGGAUGGAAAGGAUCCAUGCCAGGCCUCGUUUUUCCUCCCCAUGCUGGUUCCAGUCCAGUGAACCAUUACAGUCUGGAAACUUCUAGCUGCCUGGUCUUCUAAGAGAAACUCCAUUCUUUGAUGACUGAUGGAAAA